UCUAGUCAACUACACUCCAUGCCUUUGUCUCAUUCUAUUCGUGAUUUGCUUUGCUGUGUUGGGUGUUAUCGUUUGCAUGUCAACCUCGUUUCUGUUUCGAAAUUAAGUUUAUCUUUAUACAUUUUAAUGAGUGUCUCGUAAAUUUGAUAGUAUUCUGCUUUGUUUUUCUAGCGCCAUUGUUUUGAACCGAAAAAGUGUCUGAUUACUGGAGAUGCUGCCCUCGAGACAAGCCUUUGAUUCCAAUGCUGGAACAACAUCUACCCUCGAGGGUUGUUAUUGUCGAAAUAUGUCGUGGGACUCCAGCUCAUCAGGGAGCCAUAUUGACAAAUACAUUUCGUGCACAACCAAGAGUUUCUGCAAUCCUGCACACUAGACUGUUUGCGAAUUUUUGGAUGGUCUGCACUUUAUGGGGGUCAUUUAUUUUCAGCUUGGCCUUCCAUAAAGUCGUCAGGCGCUGCUGAUUUCAUCGAAACCAUCCAACAUGAGAACGACACGGCCUGCAACUUUUAAACGAUGUUUCAACAUUGAUCUGGCAAAUGAACUAGUUCCGGUAAUGCAAGGUAAUUGGAGUAAGAAUUUGAUAGCUUUCUUUCGAUCGAAUGAAGUUGUGCCCGAAAUAGCUUUGGUAUGCCUCACUAAGUCAAUUUUGAUAACCCAGUGAUCUGGGCUGUUGCAUUUGAUGACGUUGAAAUAAUGAAACAGUAUGGUGGACUUGCCCGUUCCGGCUACACUAGAAAUAAUCAUGAUCUGGCUUUUCCAAUCUUUAUCAACAAAAUGAUUCUCCUGUCGAAUCACGGUUGAAGCCAAUGUCCUAUUUUCCUUCAAAAUUUCUUUCAUUUUAUUCCAGAUAUUUAGUCGUUCGUUGUCACUGACAAACCACUCGAUACUGCCCAAAAGUGCUGGAUCAAUCCUGCACUCUUGCGUAAGCUGCUCCAAAGACUUUCCCAAUUUUUGAGCUAAUUGAUUAUGAAAAUUUUCGUGGUAUGAAGAAAAUUCCAGUUGUCUCUCGAUGUAGGGAAAUUCCGGGGAAAGAGGUGUUAAUUCUGGGGAAAGAGGUGUUAUGGGUGCUGGGAUUUUCACGAUUGUCCCACUCCUCAGUUCUUGAAAGCUCGUCAAGUUGAUGAUGGCAUUAAGUUCGGAACUUUUGUCCAAAAGAGUCUCUACUUUCAUCUGAGACCCUUGAAACUGUACGCAUUUUGAUUGCAAUUUCUCCUUUGUUUUUCUGUUUAAAUCGCGAAAACAAAACUUAUCUUGCAUACUAGCUUUACCAAUGUUAGUUUCAACGAUAAUGAUUCUUUUCGAUUUACGAUUUUCAGGAAUCAAUUCCUGCCAUUUUUGCUCGGUAUCAUUAUCAUUGCAAACAACAACUAGUAAAUAAUGCAAUCUCUUAGCUCUCAAAAUAUUUCUCAUUCGAACUAUUUCCCUUUCUUCACGCAAAUUUUUGCUUUGCACAAUCAAAUAGCUGUCAUCUUUCUUGAAAUCACUUAAUUGCUUCAGCGACUGGACGAUUUUUAUGGCGGUGCAUUUCGGCGAGUCGGUUGCAAUGCGCAGCACUUUCUUCUGUAGGGUUGGGAGAUAGAGAAAAGGUUUAAGUUUUUCGGUCAUGUUGUCGAUUGCAUCUUGGUUGAAUUUCAUGUAUUUGCAGAGCCGGUUACGGUAAUCGAUGGAAGCACCGGUUGCGCGCAGCGACUUCAUCAUUUCUUUUGUUUGCUUUAGAAGUAAUUUAGCUUUUGCACUCGAUAGUGUAGUUGCAGAUUUCUCUUUAAACCAAUUCAGCAGUUUUAUUAAGAGCUCAUUUGACACAGCUCGACUAUCCAGUACAUUAAAAUCUAUUCCCAUUUCAGUUCGUAUAAUGCAAUCCAAUUGUUUUUCGUUAGGUAAAUUGACGGCAAAAACAAGUUUGUCGAGAAAAUUUUCAAUUUCUUCCUUAUUCACAGGGUCACUGGUUAGUUCACUUUGUUCAUUUUGCCUUUUGCCAAAAUUUUUACUCAAUUCAAAUUUCAUUGUGUUCCAGUCACUGCCUCCUUGGCAAUCGCUAAGUAUUUUACGGAAUUUUUUUGCGUUCGGUGAAAGGUCUUUCACAUUGUCGAUGAAAUUUUGAUGGAAUGUUUUCGAACUGAGGUCUAAUACUUUUUCUUCAACUAAAACAAAGUGAUAUCUUUUAAACAUAUCACAUCUGAGUUCGAGUUUUUGCUUUUUGUUGCCAUAUUUCAAUAGUUCGUGGGCUAAACAAUGCAUGUCUGAGGUUUCUUCUAGUUUUUCGUACAAAUUGGUCGUCCCUUGCAUGAUUUGUAACUUAUAGCGUACCGGUAUUGUGCUGCCAGACUUUUGCUUGGAAUUAAAAGCUAGAAUCGGAUCUCGAUUUUUUAAACUUACUAAUUCGAUCCCGUUCAGCAUGAGAUCAUUCUCAUCAAAGCCGAUAUUAGUUCCAAUGAUGCAAUCGUUGAGUUCUUCAUUGUCUUCGAGCGUUUUGAAAAUUUCACGAUAAGAGCGGAAAUAUUUUUUAAGACUAAAGUCACCAUCACUUUCGUUCAACAGAUCACUUGCCUUGAUCUUCGUGGAAUCGUCAAAUUUGUGCUUUGCCUGCAAGUACCGUGUUAUUCUUUUGCUUUCACGAUUUUUGUACGUAAAGAUGAGGUCAUCGAAUUUACCCCCUUUACCAGGCAUCUCAGUAUCUAGCUUGAAAUUAUAGCCCAUUCUAAGUCCUCGGGUGAGGAACAGCAUUAGCAGCCUCAGUUGAAAUACGUCGCCGUGUAAUGUAUUCCUUAGCCCAGACGAGGCCAAGCUCUUGCCUAAUAUUUUAUCUGCCUGGGCGCGUUUACUUGCAGGAGGCACCAUUUUGAUAUAACACUGAUAACACGGAAAAGUGUUGUCAGUACUGAACGUAUAAAAGUUGCCAGGAAAGUCACACAGAGUUUUCUAAACAACGCUGAACAGCUAUCACUGUUAUAUUAGUAAGCUAGCUUUUUCACUUAAUUUUAAACACGUCCAGCGUUAAACUGAUGUUAACUUUUUGUUAGCCGGAUGUUUGACACAGCUACUGUACCUGUGCGUUCCCAGCUCACUUUGGCGACUCUAUCCUUGCUUCUUAUCAUAUAGUUCCCUUUUUUAAAUGCCAUCAGAUAGUUAUGAUAUCAAGUCAGCUAAUCAUUCUUGAUACUACACAGUAACCAAUAAAAUUAUAGGUUCUUGAGUAGAUAAUCAACAUAGGUCGUUGUAACUAUGGGGCACUUUAGAGCUGCGUCAUGAUGCAUUGCAUACAGGAUAUGUUUUUUUUUCUAAUAUAAAAUUUAACCCCUGUCCACGUAGUCUUCUGCACCCAAAAAUACUAAAAUUAAUUUUCACGUUUAUUCCUUUAAAGUUCUUAUUGAUAAUAAUAAUUAAAAAAAAAGGAAACUUCAGUUAAGUUUAUUAUACUAUGAAAGGAAGCAAACGGAAAAUAAAAAUU